rnacentral:rRNA from 1 species
GACAGAGGGUGCAAACGUUGCUCGGAAUCACUGGGCGUAAAGGGCGCGUAGGCGGGAUGGCAAGUCGGUCGUGAAAUCCUUCGGCUCAACCGAAGAACGUCGAUCGAUACUGCUGUUCUUGAGGGUUGCAGAGGAGACUGGAAUUUACGGUGUAGCGGUGAAAUGCGUAGAUAUCGUAAGGAAGACCAGUGGCGAAGGCGGGUCUCUGGACAGUUCCUGACGCUGAGGCACGAAGGUCAGGGGAGCAAACGGG